UUGGUGGAACCAAUAAGCUAUGAGUCUGCCCCUCUCCAUAUAGGGGCGCUGUUACCCAAUCAUCGCUCUCUUUCCCCCGGGAUAUGACAGCGAGCGGAGCUCUGCGCAAGUCUAAAGACAAAUCUAGACCUGAAGCCUAUUUCUUCAGCAUCUUACUAACCUCUGAACGCCAUAAAUAGACAUCAUUAACAAAACGUGUAAAUACAGGCGAAUAUUCAGGUCACUAGUCAGCUUUGCUGGACAGGCUGUGACAGAAAGAGCAGAGUCAUCACAUCAUGAUUAGAUGGUGGACCCCCAUGUUUCAGGCUGCUCCCGUGUCCUUGUAGGAAUACAUGCUGGAUAUAAGGUCUUUGUGCUCAGGUGUCUAUGGGUUGCUGUGUGUGCUCUGCUUUCUCUUUGCACGUAUACAUAACCCAUACAAUUCAUUCUCUGCAAACUAUCUUGUGUGGGAUUUCUCCCCAAUUUAUAGGCCGUGGGAGCUGCCCUCCUUGUAUGCUCUCCCCUCUGUCCACCUGUUACCCUUCUACAUCUAACCCUGACAAAAGGGAGGGGUUAUUUCCAUAGCAGCAUUGUGGUAUGAAAUAAAGUAAU